rnacentral:rRNA from 1 species
GACGAACGCUGGCGGCGUGCCUAAUACAUGCAAGUUGAGCGAUGAAGAUUGGUGCUUGCACCAAUUUGAAGAGCAGCGAACGGGUGAGUAACGCGUGGGGAAUCUGCCUUUGAGCGGGGGACAACAUUUGGAAACGAAUGCUAAUACCGCAUAACAACUUUAAACAUAAGUUUUAAGUUUGAAAGAUGCAAUUGCAUCACUCAAAGAUGAUCCCGCGUUGUAUUAGCUAGUUGGUGAGGUAAAGGCUCACCAAGGCGAUGAUACAUAGCCGACCUGAGAGGGUGAUCGGCCACAUUGGGACUGAGACACGGCCCAACCUCCUACGGGAGGCAGCAGUAGGGAAUCUUCGGCAAUGGACGAAAGUCUGACCGAGCAACGCCGCGUGAGUGAAGAAGGUUUUCGGAUCGUAAAACUCUGUUGGUAGAGAAGAACGUUGGUGAGAGUGGAAAGCUCAUCAAGUGACGGUAACUACCCAGAAAGGGACGGCUAACUACGUG